ACUGGCCAGGGAGCCGCUACGCAGAUGUUUUCGCCUCUGCGGGUGUAGGCUCCGGGUCGGGCUUCCGGGUCCCUUUCCUGGCUCUGGCGCCUUCCAGCUGUGUGACCGGGCGAGGCCCUGAGCCUCUUGAGGGUUCAGUGCCCUCCUCCGUACAAUGGGCCAACAACAGCCCCUUCCCUGGGGAUCUCGGUGAGGGUUGGUUGCUCUGCAGGGUGCCCUGGGCCUGUGCCAGCGCGCUCAGGCAUCCUGGUGACCAACCACAGCUGGCACUGGUGAACGCAGCCUCUUAGCCCAGGCAGGCUCUGGUCAGCCUCACCUGCUGGGACCGCUGAGUGGUCCAAGAGCUGGCUUGGCUGACUGGGACCUGGGCCUCAGCUUCCCCAUCUGUGCAGGGGGCCGCUGGUGAUACCGGUCCCUGCCAUGCCCUGGUGGAGAUAUGGCCCAGUGAGACUUCGUGAGGGGUCUAGGCCACUGCUGUCACGUGGUCCUCCUGCUCCACCACAGGCCAUCUCCCUGGGCCUCAUCCAGACAGCUGGACACUGAGCACAGCUCUGUUGUCCUCUUCCCUGGGCUGAGUGGACUCAGAGGUGCUGGGGACUGCAUGGCCGCCGGACGAGGCGGGGGCUUUCCAACCCAACACCACCGAGCCUGCCUCUUCCUGCCCUGGAUGCUAUGUCUUCCAUAGAGCCGCUUUUCCAACACAGCAGGUAUGAAGUAUCCACCGGCCAUCUGAAAAUAAUGCAGUAACUAAGAAAAACAGUGGCGAGAGGAAGGAGUGUCGAUGCCCCAAAUGGAUCAUCUUCCAGAGCACGUCUACACCGAGAUCAAGAAUGAAAAGGAAUUGGGAUCCUGACACAUCCACCAAAGAGCCUUUGAGUACUUCGAAAUCACUUGGAACAGGUUCCUGCAAAGCAAACCCUUCUGGGCUUGAGGAGGAAAUGGACCCGGAACAUUCAGCCCAUCUGAGCACAAACUUUCUGUUGACCUGAGAGGCUGAGGCCUUCCUGUUCCCCACUCAGACCCAGGAGGCAGCCUGCCCAGGGGGAGCCGGGGCAUGGCCUACGAGCUCCUGGAGUCAGGCAGCUCCUGAGGGGCCGGAUGGUCUUGGGCUGGCCAAGCCAGCCUCUGUCGUCCUGUGGAUGGUGGGGCCUUGUGUACGCAUAGCCUCUGCACAGGGGCACACUGUGGGUGUUUGGACGGACAGUGUCUCAAAAACCCAAUUCAGGGCUUGACAGCAGAUUUGUCCUCCACUCCAUGUGCAUAUGAGCAAGGAGAGUUAAUGCAAAGCUUUCUUCAUAGCAGAAGGUUGAAAACAAUGUACCUUUCUAUCAGCAGAGCAGGCAAGGGGGAUACUGUGUGUUUCCCACUGCUGCUGGGACAAAUUAUAACAAAUGUAGCAGCGUAAACCAACGUCCAUUUUUCAUCUCAUGCUCUGGAGGUCAGAGGUUCUCGCGGGUUCUUCUGGUUUUUCUGUUCAAGGUCUCAUGAGGCUGAAAUUGAGGUUUCAGCCAGCAGGGUUCUUGCUGGGAGGCUCCAGGAAGAACUGGCUUCCUGCUCUGACAAGCUGUUGUCAGAAUCCAGGCCCUACAGUUGCAGGACCUGGGUCCCACAUCCUUGCUGGCUGUUGGCCAAAGGCUGCUCCCAGCUUCUGGAGGCUGCUCCGUUCUCUGGCUCACGGCUCCAUCCUCCAUCUUCAGAGCAAAACCAGGUCAUGUCCUUACCUCGACUCUCUCUGCCUCCGCCUCCUGCCUUAUGGCUCGGCCUCCAGGGAGAAGCUGGCCAAUGCGCUCUCUUUUAAGGGUUCAUACGCUGGGCUCACUGGGGAAUCCAGGAUUGUCCCCCACCUUCACCUUAACCACAGCUGCCAAGUCUCCUUCCCCCGCCACACGUCAUGGUAGCACAUGAAGGGAUUGG
rnacentral:lncRNA from 10 species